ACAGCGGUAUCCCAGUUGGUAGCCGUCGGCAGUACAGAUGCCGAAGGUUGCAGGUUCAAAUCCUGCCCGCGGUG